rnacentral:rRNA from 1 species
AGAGUUUGAUCAUGGCUCAGGAUGAACGCUGGCGGCGUGCUUAAUACAUGCAAGUCGAACGAAGGUUGUAGCAAUACAUCCUUAGUGGCGAACGGGUGAGUAACGCGUUGGUGACCUGCCCCGAAGUGCGGGAUAACAGUCCGAAAGGAUUGCUAAUACCGCAUGGUUUCAUUUGGAUUAGAUGCCAGAUGAGCAAAGGCGAAAGUCGCUUCGGGAGGGGCUUGCGUCCCAUCAGCUAGUUGGUAGGGUAAUGGCCUACCAAGGCAAUGACGGGUAGGGGACCUGAGAGGGUGGCCCCCCACAAUGGAACUGAAACACGGUCCAUACACCUACGGGUGGCAGCAGUAGGGAAUAUUGGUUAAUGUGCGAAACGGCGAACCAGCAACGCCGCGUGCACGAUGAAGGCCUUCGGGUUGUAAAGUGCUUUUUGAGGGGAUGAGGAAGGACAGUACCCUCAGAAUAAGUCUCGGCCAACUACGUGCCAGCAGCCGCGGUAACACGUAGGAGACGAGCGUUAUCCGGAUUUACUGGGCGUAAAGCGCGUGCAGGCGGUUCAGCAAGUUGGAUGUGAAAGCUCCCGGCUUAACUGGGAGAGGUCGUUCAAAACUACUGAACUUGAGAGUGGUAGAGGGAGGUGGAAUUCCGGGUGUAGUGGUGAAAUGCGUAGAUAUCCGGAGGAACACCAGUGGCGAAAGCGGCCUCCUGGACCAUUUCUGACGCUCAGACGCGAAAGCUAGGGUAGCGAACGGGAUUAGAGACCCCGGUAGUCCUAGCUGUAAACGAUGUAGACUUGGCGUUGGUGGGGUUAAAUCCAUCAGUGCCGAAGCUAACGCGAUAAGUCUACCGCCUGGGGACUACGGCCGCAAGGUUAAAACUCAAAGGAAUUGACGGGGCCCCGCACAAGCAGCGGAGCGUGUGGUUUAAUUCGAUGAUACACGAAGAACCUUACCAGGGUUUGACAUGCUGGUGGUAGGGAGCCGAAAGGUGACCGACCCCUCGGGGAGCCAGCACAGGUGCUGCAUGGCUGUCGUCAGCUCGUGUCGUGAGAUGUUGGGUUAAGUCCCGCAACGAGCGCAACCCUCAUCCUGUGUUGCUACCGGGUAAAGCCGGGCACUCUCAGGAAACUGCCCGUGCAAGCGGGAGGAAGGUGGGGAUGACGUCAAGUCAGCAUGGCCCUUACGACCUGGGCUACACACGUGCUACAAUGGACGGUACAGACGGAAGCGAAGCCGCGAGGUGAAGCAAAUCCGAGAAAGCCGUUCUCAGUUCGGAUUGCAGGCUGCAACUCGCCUGCAUGAAGUCGGAAUCGCUAGUAAUCGCAGGUCAGCACACUGCGGUGAAUACGUUCCCGGGCCUUGUACACACCGCCCGUCACACCACGAAAGUUUGCAACACCCGAAGCCGGUGGGGUAACCGUAAGGAGCCAGCCGUCGAAGGUGGGGUAGAUGAUUGGGGUGAAGUCGUAACAAGGUAGCCGUAUCGGAAGGUGCGGCUGGAUCACCUCCUU